AGCCUUCUGUAUCCGUGCUCAGAAUUCGUCACACCAGACCACAAAGGCUGAUGAGACUACCAAGAUAGGUGGUCG
rfam:Schistosoma haematobium scaffold1634_1, whole genome shotgun sequence.